AAAGGGGGUCAUUUCCCAAAUGAAUUGUCCAGAAGCUUCCCACCCCAGUUCUCCUUUCCCCAGAGGAGGAGUCAAGGCCUAAAGUGUGGGUCACCCCAGGAACCUCAGGGCAAAGGACUCUAAUCCCUACUGGACAAGCCCAGGCGGUACUGGGUCACCCUCUGCUGUCCACCUGCCACGAAAUGGAUGGCAUUGCUUCUCGAGGGGAAAGCCAAGAGCAGCCAGAAACCCAGGCACUGAUAUUAUUACUGUUUAACUAGAGAAGAGGAGACCAAGGCUCUGGAAGGUGAAGCCCGGGAUCUACAGGUGUACCGCUACCGAGUGGUGAGGCCAAGUUCAAAUCCAGAAUGAGAAAUGAGAAACAAGAAGAAAAAUGAAGCCACAACUGGACCCAUGGCUUCUUCUAAUUCUUCCUGCCCUCCCUCAGUGCUCUGGUCUGCUGGACUCCAGGAACUUCUACACCAGGCCACAGUUCACAUUACAGAAAGUCAAAAAAGAUCAGAAAGUCUGGGAUCUCCAUCUUCCACAUCUUUUAAGUUCAAGCUCGGGUUGUCUCUCCUCUAUGAAAUCCUUGCCAUUUGUCCUGAAGUAACUUUACAAAAACCUUCUGAACUCUCAAAGGAAGGAGUUGCUGCUCCCUCCCUCCCCAACUCCCAGGUAGGGUUUUGUGUCCAUAUGUCUUCCAUGAAUUUUCUUUUUUGUUUAUGUAU